AGAGUUUGAUCAUGGCUCAGGAUGAACGCUGGCGGCGUGCCUAACACAUGCAAGUCGAGCGAUUUACUUCUGUAAAGAGCGGCGGACGGGUGAGUAACGCGUGGGUAACCUGCCCUGUACACACGGAUAACAUACCGAAAGGUAUGCUAAUACGAGAUAAUAUACUUUUAUCGCAUGGUAGAAGUAUCAAAGCUUUUGCGGUACAGGAUGGACCCGCGUCUGAUUAGCUAGUUGGUAAGGUAACGGCUUACCAAGGCGACGAUCAGUAGCCGACCUGAGAGGGUGAUCGGCCACAUUGGAACUGAGACACGGUCCAAACUCCUACGGGAGGCAGCAGUGGGGAAUAUUGCACAAUGGGCGAAAGCCUGAUGCAGCAACGCCGCGUGAGCGAUGAAGGCCUUCGGGUCGUAAAGCUCUGUCCUCAAGGAAGAUAAUGACGGUACUUGAGGAGGAAGCCCCGGCUAACUACGUGCCAGCAGCCGCGGUAAUACGUAGGGGGCUAGCGUUAUCCGGAAUUACUGGGCGUAAAGGGUGCGUAGGUGGUUUCUUAAGUCAGAGGUGAAAGGCUACGGCUCAACCGUAGUAAGCCUUUGAAACUGGGAAACUUGAGUGCAGGAGAGGAGAGUGGAAUUCCUAGUGUAGCGGUGAAAUGCGUAGAUAUUAGGAGGAACACCAGUUGCGAAAGGCGGCUCUCUGGGACUGUAACUGACACUGAGCACGAAAGCGUGGGGGAGCAAAACAGGAUUAGAUACCCUGGUAGUCCACCUCGUAACGAUGAGUACUAGCUUGUCGAGUACCCCCAUCGGUGGGCGCAGCUUACGCAAUAGUACUCGGACUUGGGAAGUACGCUCGCCAAGACGUAAACCUCAAGAUGGACGGAACGCACAGUAGCGUUGACAUUCGUAAUUCAUA
rnacentral:rRNA from 1 species